AGACGUAGGGGGCAAGCGUUGUCCGGAAUUACUGGGCGUAAAGGGUGCGUAGGCGGCAUUACAAGUCUAAUGUGAAAUCCCCGUGCUUAACAUGGGGUCUGCAAUAGAAACUGUAAAGCUAGAGUGCAGGAGAGGUAAGUGGAAUUCCGAGUGUAGAGGUGAAAUUCGUAGAUAUUCGGAGGAACACCAGUGGCGAAGGCGGCUUACUGGUCCAUUACUGACGCUGAGGUGCGAAAGCGUGGGGAGC
rnacentral:rRNA from 1 species